UCCUGAUGAAACCCAAGCUGGCACCAGUCAUAGAGUGACUUGUACUCCCUUCCUUGAUGACCAAAAUUGCUGUGGUCUUAAGACCCUUUCUGAC
rnacentral:snoRNA from 1 species